rnacentral:tRNA from 1 species
CGGACGAGGAGGUCCUCGGGCGGGAGCGCGGCUUGCUUCGCGCGCCAGCGGGUCUCGUCGCCGACGGACUUCGUGCGCUGUUCGAGGCGGUGGUCGGCCGUC